rnacentral:rRNA from 1 species
UACGUAGGGUGCGAGCGUUUAUCGGAAUUACUGGGCGUAGAGCGUGCGCAGGCGGUUCGCCAAGUCAGGUGUGAAAUCCCCGGGCUUAACCUGGGAAUUGCGCUUGAAACUAGCGGGCUUGAGUGUGGCAGAGGGGGGUGGAAUUCCACGUGUAGCAGUGAAAUGCGUAGAGAUGUGGAGGAACACCGAUGGCGAAGGCGGCCCCCUGGGUCAACACUGACGCUCAUGCACGAAAGCGUGGGGAGCAAACAGG